UCUGGUGUUGCUCCCUAGUGUAAAGAUUAUGCAAAGUAAUGAAGCUGCUUAAAGAAAUCUUUUAAUGGAAGUAUUGGGAAAAAUAUAUAAAGAGUUGUAAUUUGAAAAGAAAAUAAUAGAAAGUAAUAUAAUUCGUUAGAAAAAGUUCUUUUUGUAUCAUGAUCUAUAGAGUAAAUAAACAAAUUUUUUUUCCCGAAAAUUUUAGAGCUACCGUGUUUAAGGGGGUUUGUUGCAGAAAAUUCUUAUAGCUCAUGGUAGAAGUGAUAUGCCUUUCGAAAAAGUUGAUAGCUGGUUAAAAGGAAAAUAUAUUAAAGUAUAUAGGUGAAAAAGGUAAAAUUAUUUACCUCUUUGCUAUACAGACCUUCCAGGUUAAGCUUGAAGGUAAAAGAAAAAAAUAAACUAAUCAAGUAGGAUUUUUAUUGUCUAUCUUAUAAAAGAUUAUUAAUAAAAUAGUUUGUUUAAAGUGUUGAUUUAGUACCUUUUGGCCUAUAAUAAUUUUUUAUAGGGUCAUAAGUAUAGAAUCAGUAGUUAUGAGUUGGAAAAAAUAAAAUGGGACCCAUUUUAAAGAAUUUUUAUUGGCCCUUCAUAAAGGAUGCUGUCUAGUCGGUGUACCUUAGGGGGUGGAAAUUUGAAAAGAGUUAUGUAAAUUUAGUGAACUUUUAUAAAGGAACUCGACAAAUAAGAUUUAUGCCUGUUUAACAAAAACAUCGCUUUUUGAUUUCUAAGAUAAAAAGUCGGGCCUGCCCGGUGAUAUAAUAAUUAAACGGCUGCAACGAGAGUUGUGCUAAGGUAGCGCGAUAAUUUGUCUCUUAAUUGGAGAAUGGUAUGAAAGGUUUGACGUAGAUCGAUUGUCUCUAUAAAAAAAAAAUGAAGUUUCCUUUUAAAUGAAAAGGUUUAAAUUUUUGUAAAAGACGAGAAGACCCUGCCGAGCUUAAUUAGGCUUUCAAUUUAGUUAUUGUUACUGUUUUUAAAGUUGAAUUUUAGUUGGGGAAAGCUAAGCUUAAGAGAACAAGUUUAUAAAGAUACAGAUCCUCUUUGAGAGAAAGUUAGUAAAAGCUACCGCAGGGAUAACAGCGUAAUUUUUCUUGGGAGAUCGAAUUGAGGGAAAAGUGUGCGACCUCGAUGUUGGAUUAGAGAAACUUUUUGGUGCAGCAGCUAAAAAUGUAAGACUGUUCGUCUUUUAAAUCUCUACAUGAUCUGAGUUAAGACCGGCGUGAGCUAGGUUGGUUUCUAUCUUUAGUGUUUAUUCCUAUUGUACGAAAGGAUCCAGGUGUAAGGUUUUUCUUUGUUGGUUAAUAAGAUUAACUGGCUGUUUAAGUUGUUGAAUAGUUUAUGGUAAAGAAAUUAGGUUUUCUAAUUUGAAGAAUAAGA
rnacentral:rRNA from 1 species